UACGGGGGGAGCAAGCGUUGUUCGGAUUUACUGGGCGUAAAGGGCGCGUAGGCGGUCGUGACAAGUCACUUGUGAAAUCUCCGGGCUUAACUCGGAACGGUCAAGUGAUACUGUCGGACUAGAGUACAGAAGGGGCAACUGGAAUUCUCGGUGUAGCGGUGAAAUGCGUAGAUAUCGAGAGGAACACCUGCGGCGAAGGCGGGUUGCUGGACCUCUGCUGACGCUGAGGCGCGAAAGCCAGGGGAGCAAACGGG
rnacentral:rRNA from 1 species